rnacentral:hammerhead_ribozyme from 1 species
AUUCAGCUGAUGAGUCCCAAAUAGGACGAAACACGCGUCCUGGAU